GAUUUCUGGCUUGAAGCAGUUUGCCGGCCACGGUUUCGUGUGUCAGUGCUUGCUGUUCUGGCCAUCCUUCCAAUGGCUGCGCGUGCGUUCUUCAUUGAUUGGUGAGUGGUAUUGGAUCUUUUACUUUGAAAAAAUUAGAGUGUUUCAAGCAGGCUUUAUGCUAUGAAUACAUUAGCAUGGAAUAAUAAUUUAGGACUUCGGUUCUAUUUUGUUGGUUUCUAGGACUGAAGUAAUGAUUGAUAGGGACAGUUGGGGGUGCUAGUAUUCAGCGGCCAGAGGUGAAAUUCUCGGAUUCGCUGAAGACUAACUUAUGCGAAAGCAUU
rnacentral:rRNA from 1 species